GGGAAUAAUCACUGGAAACGGUGACUAAUACCGCAUAAUAUUCUUAGGAGGCAUCUUCUGAGAAGGAAAGGAGAAAUUCGGUAAAAGAUGGGCCCGCAUCUGAUUAGCUAGUUGGUGAGAUAACAGCCCACCAAGGCAACGAUCAGUAGCCGACCUGAGAGGGUGACCGGCCACAUUGGGACUGAGACACGGCCCAAACUCCUACGGGAGGCAGCAGUGGGGAAUAUUGCACAAUGGGGGAAACCCUGAUGCAGCAACGCCGCGUGAAGGAAGACGGUUUUCGGAUUGUAAACUUCUAUCAAUAGAGAAGAAAGAAAUGACGGUACCUAAAUAAGAAGCCCCGGCUAACUACGUGCCAGCAGCCGCGGUAAUACGUAGGGGGCAAGCGUUAUCCGGAAUUACUGGGUGUAAAGGGAGAGUAGGCGGCAAGGUAAGCGAUAUGUGAAAGCCUUAGGCUUAACCUGAGGAUUGCAUAACGAACUAUCUAGCUAGAGUACAGGAGAGGAAAGCGGAAUUCCUAGUGUAGCGGUGAAAUGCGUAGAUAUUAGGAAGAACACCAGUGGCGAAGGCGGCUUUCUGGACUGAAACUGACGCUGAGGCUCGAAAGCGUGGGGAGCGAACAGGAUUAGAUACCCUGGUAGUCCACGCUGUAAACGAUGAG
rnacentral:rRNA from 1 species